rnacentral:rRNA from 1 species
UACGUAGGGGGCAAGCGUUAUCCGGAUUUACUGGGUGUAAAGGGAGCGCAGACGGCAGUGCAAGUCUGGAGUGAAAGCCCGGGGCCCAACCCCGGAACUGCUCUGGAAACUGUGCGGCUAGAGUACUGGAGGGGCAGGCGGAAUUCCUAGUGUAGCGGUGAAAUGCGUAGAGAUCAUACAGAACACCGAUUGCGAAGGCAGCUUACCAAACUAUAUCUGACGUUGAGGCACGAAAGCGUGGGGAGCAAACAGG